rnacentral:SRP_RNA from 16 species
GCUGGCAACAGAGCAGACAAGACUCCUCGCAGA